rnacentral:lncRNA from 1 species
UUCCCAGCUAGGCCAUUUUCUUUCAAGCUUUGCAACAUUCUUUUCUGGAAUCCUUAUUGCUGCUAUAUGCUGUUGGGAAGUGUCCCUACUUACCUUCGUGGUUGCUCCUACGAUUCUAGUGAUCGGAGCCACCUACACCAGAAAAAUGAUUGCUAUUUCAGCUACUAAGAUGCUCUACAUAUCAGAAGCUACAUCAAUGGUAGAACAGGUAAAAUUAGCAUCAUUCCAUAUUUUCAACUUCCAAAGGUGAUUAGUACAUAUGUGUAUAAGUUACCUCAGUAAUAAACAUCUGAGGUUUACAUGCUGCAGACCAUCUCUCAAAUCAAAACAGUAUUUGCUUUUGUUGGAGAGAAUUCUGCAAUUAAAUCGUUCUCAGAGUGCUUGGAUAAACAGUUUUCAUUAAGCAAAGGAGAAGCACUGAUAAAAGGUGUAGGCACUGGCAUGUUUCAAACUGUGACCUUUUGUGCUUGGGCACUGAUCAUAUGGAUUGGAGCCGUUGCCGUCACUUCCCGGAAAGCAAAAGGAGGGGAUGUCAUAGCUGCGGUGAUGAGCAUUCUCUUUGGAUCCGUGUAAGAAAAAGACCUCAUCCUCGAGGUGAAUAAAAUGAUUCAUCCCACUUUCAACAUGUAUGUAAUACAGGAUUCUCUUGCAGAUCACUUACUUUUGCUGCACCAGACAUACAAAUCUUCAAUCAGGCAAAGGCUGCAGGGUAUGAGGUUUUCAAGCUGAUACAAAGAAAGCCAACAAUAAGUUAUGAUUCAAAGGGAAAGGAAGUUGAGAAGAUCAGUGGUGACAUUGAUAUACGCCAUGUAUACUUUGCUUACCCUUCUCGUCCCGAAAAGUCAAUCAUUCAAGGAUUUUCAUUGUCGAUUCCAGCAGGAAAGACGGUUGCUUUAGUCGGCAGCAGCGGAUGUGGAAAGAGUACUGUUAUCUGCUUGGUUCAAAGGUUCUAUGAUCCCCUCAAAGGUUUCGCA